CAGCCGCCGCGGUAAUACGUAGGUGGCAAGCGUUGUCCGGAUUUAUUGGGCGUAAAGCGAGCGCAGGUGGUUUAAUAAGUCUGAUGUGAAAGCCCACGGCUCAACCGUGGAGGGUCAUUGGAAACUGUUAAACUUGAGUGCAGGAGAGGAGAGUGGAAUUCCACGUGUAGCGGUGAAAUUCAUAGAGAUGUGGAGGAACACCAGUGGCGAAGGCGACUCUCUGGUCUGUAACUGACGCUGAGGAGCGAAAGCGUGGGGAGCGAACAGGAUUAGAUACCCCUGUAGUCCCUGUCUCUUAUAC
rnacentral:rRNA from 1 species